CCUACGGGAUGCAGCAGUGAGGAAUAUUGGUCAAUGGGCGGAAGCCUGAACCAGCCAAGUAGCGUGCAGGAUGACGGCCCUACGGGUUGUAAACUGCUUUUAUACGGGAAUAACGCGCCUUACGUGUAGGGCUUUGCAUGUACCGUAUGAAUAAGGACCGGCUAAUUCCGUGCCAGCAGCCGCGGUAAUACGGAGGGUCCGGGCGUUAUCCGGAUUGAUUGGGUUUAAAGGGGGCGUAGGCCGCAUGUCCAGUGUGCGGUGAAAUGUCCGGGCUCAACCCGGGCCGUGCAGGGCGAACUGGCGUGCGUGAGUCCGCGGAAAGCAGGCGGAAUUCGUCGUG
rnacentral:rRNA from 1 species